rnacentral:rRNA from 1 species
CCUACGGGUGGCAGCAGUGAGGAAUAUUGGUCAAUGGGCGAGAGCCUGAACCAGCCAAGUCGCGUGCAGGAUGAAGGCUCUAUGGUUUGUAAACUUCUUUUAUAUGGGAAUAAAGUGAGAUACGUGUUCCCUUUUGUAUGUACCAUAUGAAUAAGCAUCGGCUAACUCCGUGCCAGCAGCCGCGGUAAUACGGAGGAUGCAAGCGUUAUCCGGAUUUAUUGGGUUUAAAGGGUGCGUAGGUGGUUGAUUAAGUCAGCGGUGAAAGGUCGUGGCUCAACCAUAAAAUUGCCGUUGAUACUGGUUGACUUGAGUAUAGUUGAGGUAGGCGGAAUGCGUGGUGUAGCGGUGAAAUGCAUAGAGAUCACGCAGAACUCCGAUUGCGAAGGCAGCUUACUAAGCUAUAACUGACGCUGAAGCACGAAAGCGUGGGGAGCAAACAGGAUUAGAUACCCGAGUAGUC